GCCUGUACCGGUUUCCACGGCUCCGCCGUACCGGUAGCUGGCCGGACCGGUUUGUACCGGCCGGUACGGACCGGUUCGGCAUACGCUGGUAUGUACCUUGUUUCGACAUAGGCCGCAAUAGUUUUUCUGACUCCCAGCCAUGAUAUGGCCUGAAAUUAGGCAGUAUAGAUUGGUAUUAGUUGGUAUGGGGUUGUUCCACUCGAUUUAGAUUGGUACAAAUUGGUUUGGCUCAUAUUGAAUCGAACCUUGGUACCAUAUCAGUAACUUUCUAGUACUAUAUGGUAUAGUUGGUACAAGGUAGUAUGAUAGACCUUGAGCUAAAUAAUGAGCAUGAACGCUACUAGAGGACUCUAAUCUAGCAAGAUGGAGGAAACAUACCAACUUUUGAACAUGCUUUAAUAUACUUAGUAUAAUAUAUAUUAUUAAAAGAAAAAACUUGGGUGUUGGAUAUCACCGAUUAUUAGAGAUGCUAUUUAUGCAUAAAUUUUGUUUGCAAGAUCUCCCAAUUGGUGUAUCAGACCUUAUAGCUUAUCAUAAGGCAGGUGAAUGGGUGGUUUAGGGCGAGAGCCUUGCAUUAGGAAUUACUUAAUUUGACACAUGUAGGAUUUUUAUGGGAAGAUCUAGGUUAUUUCACCUAAUCUGAAGCAUUUCAUUCAGUAAUGAAAAAAAAUUGUUCUCCAUCAAUCAUUCUGAACUAGUCCUGCAAUAGCAGUACUCUGGUAUUAUCUGCACAACUGUAGUAUGUUGUUAAUAUGGGAACACGGUUGUGUAAUUUUGAUUUGGAAGUCAAAUUAGUUGAAAGAAAAAUUAAUGCAGACAUUGGAUUUAUCUAAGAUAUUAGGAUUAGAUGAGUCAAAAAACUAUGUUUGUCGGUUUAAAACUUGCUUAUACACUAGUCUAAAGCUGUCAAAUUUCUA